rnacentral:sRNA from 1 species
UGACAGAUUGAUUCUUUCGGCCUCGAUU